CCUACGGGGGGCAGCAGUGAGGAAUAUUGGUCAAUGGACGAGAGUCUGAACCAGCCAAGUAGCGUGAAGGAUGACUGCCCUAUGGGUUGUAAACUUCUUUUAUAGGGGAAUAAAAUGUUCCACGUGUGGGAUGUUGUAUGUACCAUAUGAAUAAGGAUCGGCUAACUCCGUGCCAGCAGCCGCGGUAAUACGGAGGAUCCGAGCGUUCUCCGGAUUGAUUGGGUUUAAAGGGAGCGUAGGUGGGUUGUUAAGUCAGUUGGGAACUUUUGCGGCUCAACCGGAAAAUUGCAGUUGAAACUGGCAGUCUUGAGUACAGUAGUGGUGGGCGGAUUUCGUGGUGUCGCG
rnacentral:rRNA from 1 species